rnacentral:rRNA from 1 species
GACAGAGGGUGCAAACGUUGUUCGGAAUUACUGGGCGUAAAGCGCGUGUAGGCGGCUUCGCAAGUCGGGUGUGAAAGCCCUGGGCUCAACCUAGGAAGUGCACUCGAGACUGCGGAGCUUGAGUCUCGGAGAGGAUCGCGGAAUUCUCGGUGUAGAGGUGAAAUUCGUAGAUAUCGAGAGGAACACCGGUGGCGAAGGCGGCGAUCUGGACGAUGACUGACGCUGAGACGCGAAAGCGUGGGGAGCAAACAGG